AACGCGAAGAACCUUACCUGGGCUUAACAUCCCUUGAUCGCGGCAGAGAUGUCGUUUUCCCUUCGGGGACAAGGAGAUAGGUGCUGCAUGGCUGUCGUCAGCUCGUGUCGUAAGAUGUUGGGUUAAGUCCCGCAACGAGCGCAACCCCUGUCCUUAGUUACCAGCAUUAAGUUGGGGACUCUAGGGAGACUGCCGGUGUUAAACCGGAGGAAGGCGGGGAUGACGUCAAGUCCUCAUGGCCCUUACGUCCAGGGCUACACACGUACUACAAUGGCGCAGACAAACCGUUGCGAAGCCGCGAGGUGGAGCUAAUCGGAAAAACAGCGUCUCAGUCCGGAUUGAAGUCUGCAACUCGACUUCAUGAAGUUGGAAUCGCUAGUAAUCGCAGAUCAGCACGCUGCGGUGAAUACGUUCCCGGGCCUUGUACACACCGAGUAUA
rnacentral:rRNA from 1 species